AUUGAACGCUGGCGGCAGGCCUAACACAUGCAAGUCGAGCGGAUGAAGGGAGCUUGCUCCUGGAUUCAGCGGCGGACGGGUGAGUAAUGCCUAGGAAUCUGCCUGGUAGUGGGGGAUAACGUCCGGAAACGGGCGCUAACACCGCAUACGUCCUGAGGGAGAAAGUGGGGGAUCUUCGGACCUCACGCUAUCAGAUGAGCCUAGGUCGGAUUAGCUAGUUGGUGGGGUAAAGGCCUACCAAGGCGACGAUCCGUAACUGGUCUGAGAGGAUGAUCAGUCACACUGGAACUGAGACACGGUCCAGACUCCUACGGGAGGCAGCAGUGGGGAAUAUUGGACAAUGGGCGAAAGCCUGAUCCAGCCAUGCCGCGUGUGUGAAGAAGGUCUUCGGAUUGUAAAGCACUUUAAGUUGGGAGGAAGGGCAGUAAGUUAAUACCUUGCUGUUUUGACGUUACCAACAGAAUAAGCGCCGGCUAACUUCGUG
rnacentral:rRNA from 1 species